UACGUAGGGACCAAGCGUUGUCCGGAAUCAUUGGGCGUAAAGAGCGUGUAGGCGGCUUGUUAAGUCUUGUGUGAAAUCUCGGGGCUCAACCCCGAGCGGUCAUGAGAAACUGGCAGGCUAGAGUGCAGAAGGGGCAACUGGAAUUCUCGGUGUAGCGGUGAAAUGCGUAGAUAUCGAGAGGAACACCUGCGGCGAAGGCGGGUUGCUGGGCUGACACUGACGCUGAUGCGCGAAAGCCAGGGGAGCGAACGGG
rnacentral:rRNA from 1 species